rnacentral:snRNA from 1 species
AUACUUCCUUGGCAGGGGAGGUACCAUGAUCAUGAAGAUGGAUUUCCUAGGGUGAGGCUAAUCGAUUGCACUCUGGAUGUGCUGACCCCUGCAAUUUCCCCAAAUGUGGGAAACUCCACUACAUAAUUUGUGGUAGUCGAGGACUGCAUUCACACCUGAA